rnacentral:misc_RNA from 1 species
UCCGGUUUGUCACCGGCAGUCUCGCAUGAGUCCCCAACUGAAUGCUGGCAACAUGCGACAGGGGUUGCGCUCGUUGCGGGACUUAACACAACAUCUCACGACACGAGCUGACGACAGCCAUGCACCACCUGUAUACCGACCACAAGGGGGGCCGUAUCUCUACGGCUUUCCGGUAUAUGUCAAACCCAGGUAAGGUUCUUCGCGUUGCAUCGAAUUAAUCCACAUGCUCCACCGCUUGUGCGGGCCCCCGUCAAUUCCUUUGAGUUUCAGCCUUGCGGCCGUACUCCCCAGGCGGGGCACUUCAUGCGUUAGCUACGGCACGGAUCCCGUGGAAGGAAACCCACACCUAGCGCCCACUGUUUACGGCGUGGACUAC